CGCCUUCCGGAGCCCGCCCCACCCUGCGGAUGUGGCGCCGCGAGCCGGCGGUUCUUAAAAGAUGAAGGAAACCUGGUCUUUCUUGGAUACUUUUGAGCCUAACUUCAGGCCUCUGGUAGUAAUUGAGCUUGCAAAAGGCACAAAAAAGGAAACCAUAGAAUGGUUCACUAAAAGAAUAGUGGACAAAAAAGCCAAUGGAGGUGCACAACUACUGAUAAAACCAUUGGUUACAGAAGAUGGAGAUGAAAAUAUUUAUCUAAUUGGAGCUUCCCAUUUAAGGCUGUUGCUGGGAGCUGAAACUGUGGGUUUGGUGAAGGAAUGUAAUGAUAAUUCAAUGAGAAGUUUCACAUACAGCAGUAGAAAAACUUUCAAAGACUUUGCAGAUGAUAAUCACAAUUUCCUUACGAUGUCGGAAUGUCAGUAUAUCAUCAAACAUGAGCUUGAAAACUUGAGAGCUAGGGAUGAAAAAAUGAUCCCUGGAUAUCCACAGGCGAAGCUAUAUCCAGGAAAAUCAAUUGUGAGAAGAUUAUUGACCAAUGGCAUUCUAGUUCAGAUUUUCCCACUCCAUGACAGAGAAGAAUUGAAAAAGCUCCGACACACCUGGUAUGGCCGAGUCAAAAUUGGCUAUCAACCUUUAGAUGAGAUACGCUCCUACUUUGGUGAAACCAUCGCUCUCUACUUCGGCUUCUUAGAGUAUUUCACGUUUGCAUUGAUUCCGAUGGCUGUCAUUGGAAUCCCUUACUAUGUGUUUGCAUGGGAGGAUUAUGACAAAUACGUAAUGUUUGCCACAUUCAACCUGCUGUGGUCCACUGUGAUCCUGGAAGUUUGGAAGCGGAUUUGCGCAGUGAUGACGUACCGCUGGGGGACACUGUUGAUGAAGAGGCAGUUUGAAGAACCAAGGCCAGGUUUCCAUGGUGCUUUGGGUAUCAAUCCUGUCACUGGGAGGGAGGAACCGGUGUACUCCAGUAUUAAGAGACAGUUACGCAUUUAUCUGGUGUCCGUACCGUUUGUGUGCCUUUGCCUCUACUUCUCGCUGUACGUGAUGAUGAUUUACUUUGACUUGGAACAGUGGGCUCUGGAUUAUCAUGAGGAGAAUAAGUCCACCUUCAGCAGCUUGAUGCUCUAUGUGCCCAGUAUCAUAUAUGCUGUCGUGAUUGAAGUUAUGAACCGUAUCUAUAGGUAUGCUGCUGAAUUCUUAACAUCGUGGGAAAAUCACAGGCUGGAGUCUUCAUAUCAGAAUCAUUUAAUUCUGAAGGUUUUAGUGUUCAACUUCUUGAAUUGUUUUGCAUCUCUCUUCUACAUUGCUUUUGUGCUGUUUGAUAUGAAACUUCUGAGACAGAGCUUGGCCACUUUGCUGAUAACUUCACAGAUCCUCAAUCAGUUUGCAGAAUCCCUGCUUCCUUACUGGCUCCAGAAGAGACAUGUGAAGAAGAUGAAGAAACACACACGUUCUCUGAAAACAGAUACGGACCUGUCAUUAGUGGAACAAGUGAACUUGGAGAAAGAAAUGGGCACCUAUUUUGGUACUUUUGAUGAUUACUUGGAGUUGUUUUUACAGUUUGGCUACGUCAGUCUUUUCUCGUGUGUUUAUCCGCUGGCCGCUGUCUUUGCAGUGUUAAACAACAUCACAGAGAUAUAUUCUGAUGCUUUAAAGAUGUGUAGAGUCUACAAGCGUCCAUUUGCAGAACCCACAGCAAAUAUUGGUGUUUGGCAGUUGGCUUUUGAAACUAUGAGUGUAAUAUCAGUAGUUACUAACUGCAUACUGAUUGGAAUGUCUCCACAAGUGAAUGCCCUUUUCCCAGACUCAAAAAUGGAUCUUGUUCUGACUGUGGCACUGGUAGAGCACUUGCUACUGGCAAUAAAGUUUGUCAUGGCGUUUGUAAUUCCUGAUAAACCAAGAGAGAUACAGAUAAAGCUGGCCAAAUUGGAAUUUGAAUCACUAGAGGCUCUCAAACAACAGCAAAUGAAACUCGCUGCUGAAUCACUGAAGGAGUCAACAUGAAGGAACAAAGAUGACUACAGCAGUCACACAUGGACGUGGGCACUCCUUGAGCCUUUAUGAUGCUGCGGAGCUCUGAGUGCACACCAUGCUAUUCUGUGUGUCUGCACGUGGCACCUGCUUCUGUGAUACCUGGUAUGGUUUCAGUUGCAGGUCACAGCAUGUGGCCCAGGCAGGCUGCUGACUCAGGACCUCUCACUGGCAUUGCUGGCCUGCAGCCCCUCCUGCAAACAUAAGGACAGUAGAAGAGGAAAAGUUCCUAUUUCAGCAGGCAAGCAAUUCUGGGUGGUUUAACCUACUCUGAUCUGGGGAUACUAGGUCUUACCUCGCACUGAGGAGUUAAAACAUCAGUGCACUACUUCCCUGUUCAAGUAAGUGAAGCCAGCAGGCACCCUUCCUUCUACUCCCUGAGCCCUCUUUCCUUGGAGUGGCUUUCCCCCUUUUUGUCCAGGACGUGGAAACUGCAGAGCCUGGUGACUCACUGUCAGCCUUGAAGACUGAUGGCCUCCUACCUUACAGAGAAUGGGUCUCUGCACCCUGUGGUUUGAUUUAAAAUGUGGUGAGGAUGGCAUCUGUCAUUGCAGAUGUGAUGCAGGUGAUCCCUGGCUCAGUGUAAGAGAGCUCAUCAGCCCUUUGGGCUUGCAGGCCUGCAGCUGAGCUGCACUCCUCCCAGGCCUCAGGCACUGAGGGAGCUGAGUGUAUGUGGCAGCUGGUGCCUACGGAGAAAAACAGCUCUGUCCCUCCUUACCUCCUCCAGUCCAGUAUUUCUCAAGAGAGAGUAGGAGCAGGAAGAUGUUACACAAGAGAAAUCAGCUGCUGGGGAGACCUGACAUGGCAUGUCUAAGAGACAAGUGAAGCCCUUAAAAAAGCCCCAAGUAUUUUUUCACAGGACAAUUCUACUGCCUGGGAAAGUCAAUGGAUUUUUUUUUUUUUUUCCCCUUCUGGUAUAGUAGAAUUCAAUCAGUCACUAUUUCAGUGUUCUCAGCUCUUAGAAACUGGUAUCUUUUGCAGUACCAUGCAAAUAGGCCAAGGUAAGUUAACCUUUAACAACUGCAGUUUCAGCCUCAAAAGCAUAGUCCCAGCCUGUGCAUCAGAGCAAGGCAGACUCAAGCAGCCACAAAAACACUGCUCCUAAGGAAGGUGUCCUGGCCUUCCCUCACAACAACGUUCUUCCAUGACUUUGAUGAGUAACUUGGCUUUAGCCCAACUAGACAAACAAAUGAGUCAUGCUCAAGCUGGCCCAAGUAUGGUUAUGUUAAGAUGUUACUACUCAAACACCUUGUACCGCAAGCAAUAAUCUAGCAUCAGUGACAGACAGCUCUGCUCUGAUUUACUCGUAUCAACUGUACCAUUGGAAAGGUUGUCAUGGUGCCUCAGCUGUCUUCUGUCAUUUUUCAGUCACCUGAGGACAUUCCAGUCUGCCAGCCAAGUUUGGUAUAACUGGCUGGCACAUUCCUUUAUUUGCUCUUGAUGAAAGAUGUCUGCAAAUACAAGUUAAUAAGUCACAAUUGUUUGCCUUCUCUUAAAAACAGGAGGGGAGAGAGAGAUGGGUUGCAUUUUCCUCUGCUGAGGCAGAGGUCGCUGCUGCUACCUCCACAUUUUGCAUUGACCAGACUUGAGAUGUUCCCUAGCAGUGGUCACAGCCACCAAAGCCUAUGGGUACAUCCUCACACAGAUAGCUCAUCAUAAAGCAGUGGUACACUAAUUGCAUACAAUUAUGUAGCUUGCUUUAAAAGUAAUGCCUCCUAUUUAUUUCCAUGGAAACUACAGCAGAUACAAAGAGCACAAUGAUGGAAUUUGAUAGAGCACAUUCUCAGCCACAACUUUUUUAAAGGCACCAGAGAUGAACAUAACUUUUGGAGCAGAUAGUACAGGGCCUGUUGAAUGCCAUCCAUCCCUAAUAAUGUGGUAUGGUCACACAGCAUUGAGCAUCUCUGGUUAUGAUUUUGUUACAUCACAGUUAACUCACCAAGCCCUCACUUACCCUGACCUGGAAAUCAGUACGUGGGGAUUCUUCCAGCUGAGCACAGAGGGUUCUGGAGCCCUGGCAGCACCAGUCAUCCUGCCAUACUGUUAGAGAUGGAGCCUGGCACGCUGGGAUGCCCAGCCUCUCUCUCCUCUCAUGGGGUAUUGCUUACACAGUUCUUUCCUGAGUCACCAGAGAGGAAUCUGUUAGUGGUUACAUGCACAGACAGAUACAGACAGCAAUCAGGCACUUGCAGGCAAAACUGGCAGAGCAGUUUGGAAGCACAAGCCAGCUGUGCUGCUUAGUGGCUCAGCUACUCCUCCCCUCAACCUGAAAUGCUUUUCACAGUAUCUUGAAAACAAAGCAAAAGAAGUGUUGAUCGACUCCCUACGUGGUAAGGCACAGUGGUUUUUAAGUGAUGACAUUGACAGCCUGUGCCUGUAUUUCAGCUUAGGCAUUGCAGUUCUGUACUGACGUACUUCAUUUUAGACCAAGUGUUCAAGAGCAGAUGUUUACCAGCACAUGGCAGCCUAAACACUGCAACAUGGGACUCCGUUGCAUGCAGUACACUGUGAAGCAGUUGCAGAAAAUAAGCAGCAUUAGCUCCUGGCUGCCCGCUACCUGUGACUGCCUACAUUCAGACAGUGCUGCACCUUACCUCCUUUCUCUGCACAAAACCAGCAAGCCCUGACACUCACUUUUUGGUUGUUUUUCACUCUUACUGUUCUAUAUUGCAGAGAAGAACAGUUCUGGGUUAAGGCUGGAUUAAAGGCUGGAUUAAAGGCAUGUACAAUGCCCUGCUGAAACUUCUGCUCACAUACUUUUUUACAAGCAGAUCAGUUAACAGGCUGCCUACAGACAUGGCAAACUGAUACGCAAUCAAUUAUUUUAUCUAACAAGACAAACCUGAGACAAGUGAAGCACCUUAUUUCUAACAGCUGCCAGCAAGCUGGACACAACGUCACUCCCAACUGUCAUGGAUGUGUGCAUGGCUAAGGCUGGUCUCUGAUGAACACACAACAAAUAUUUUAUCUGAGACUUUGAAACCCUCUGUGUUCUGUACUGCACAGCUUCCGGAUGCAGAGAGAAGAGCACCAGCCAGCUGCCCUAGGUUGGCCAAGAAAAUGAGUAGGACAGGAUCAUCACAGAUGGUCUCUAGGUGCUGUAAAGUUCACCAAACACUCAACUCCUUAGAUCAUGUUGAAGUUCUGCCGAGGAAACAAACAGCUAUCUUCCCCUUUGGCAUCUGCUCAAGUAGCUUUCUGCUUAAUUAUGACACUCUAUAAGCCCAAGUAAGCAAUUUAUAACUGCAAGAGAAGAGAAGUGUGUUAACAAAAAACCCUGCAAAUAAACGUACAGCCACGCACAAAGGUGUGUGCCAGCUUCCCUUCCUGCUGUCUUCUGCUUUUGUAUAUUACUACGUGAGACCCUGAGGGGGUGAUGCUGAAGUGACUGUCCAGUGUCUGCUGCCAGAAUUCAUUCCCAGCACGCACUGCUCUGAAAGUCAAGCCUGCAGUGCAGGGAGAUCAGCAGCGUGUGCGCUGCCCUUACACACUGAGCACUGGGAGUAACAAACUGCACUGACAUGCACAGUAUAGGUUAUGCAUCAGUCAAGAUAGUACUUUUAUUAACUGGAUUUUCCAUGUCUGUCACACAUCAUGAAGUUUUAUACAAUGAAAAAGCCAAACACUGCUGGAAGCAAUAAGAUCAGCUGCUAUUUCUGUACCCUCUUAACACACGCUCACACACACACACGCAAAUUCUUUCUUGGUGAGAAAUUUUUAUAUUUGUUUGUUAAUUCUGCUUAUUUAUACUGCUACUUUUAAAAUCCUGUGUCAAGAUUGUCACAUCUUAAAUACAGAUGAAGUUGCUAGAGGUACAUUAUUUUAUAUAUAAUAUAUACACACAUACAGAAAAAUACAAGACUAAUUGUUUUUGCACAAUAUUUAAUUUAUACACUACUGUAACUAUAUGCAACUUUCAAAGACACGUUAAGGGGUACAGGGAACUGUUUACUCGCUCUAAGUAAUAGUUUGGUCCAAUAGUAUCUUAAUGUAGUGGUUCUUCUCGCCCUUCCUUCUACGUGACGACAUAAUACAACGACACCACAUGCACAGUCAUUCACCUAUCAACAGAUGGAUAAGGGACGCCACUCAGACUAACAGCUGUACGCCCAGAGGUCAACCAACCACACACAACUAGUAAGGCUAUAAUACAACUAUGCAGCAUAAAUGAUCAACACUGCUGUUCUAAAGUGAGCACCAUAUAUACAUUUGUAUAUAAAAACAUGGGAAACAAAAUACACCUGGGGUUAGUUAAAAGGUGCCAUUCCAAGGCUGUACAUAAUAUCAGGAAAGAGUAUUUACAAUGCUUGGAAAAAAGCUGCAACAAAUAAGUUUAUUGCCAAUGCCCUUUAUAAACUUUUCCUCCUACUUCGAUGUUACGCUCACUGUCCGUGAACCACACAUCUUAUUUCUGGCCCUUUAGAAGAUCCCUGCUCAAAAAACGUCAGCAAAUAUGUUCUAUGGCUUCACCCACACAUCUCUUCUUGCAGUUUUUCAUUUAUAAAUACCACACUGACUAAACUGCAACUCUCCUAAAACUUACUUAAAAGUAAAAUACUCGUCAUCACAUCCUUGUUUAGGAAGCAGAAUGUGAAAUCCCUGGCGGGAAACCCCGCGCAAUUCAGGUUCUCUUAGUAAAGUCUUUUACUAACUGAGAAGAGCUGUCAUCAACUGUAGAAAUUACAACCAAGUGUAACGCAGUUCUUUGGUGCUCUACUCACUCUACAGCAGACACGAAAUACAUUGUAUUGGCCAUUCUGCAACGUGACAAGAUGCUCAACAGUGUAAACUCCUCUCAGACAUCCAACGUCUGGCCAGGGCGCUGCUACAUAACACCACCGGUUUGAUUAGCAUUGCUCAGAAGACCCAGUGCACAGCAUGAAAAAAUAAAACAUUCUCGCCCUUCCCCAAACCAGG